rnacentral:rRNA from 1 species
UACGUAGGCAGCAAGCGUUGUUCGGAAUUACUGGGCGUAAAGAGUGUGUAGGCGGUGCUCUAAGUCUGUUGUGAAAUCUCCCGGCUUAACUGGGAGGGUGCGGCGGAGACUGGAGUGCUAGAGUGUGGGAGAGGUAAGCGGAAUUCCUGGUGUAGCGGUGAAAUGCGUAGAUAUCAGGAGGAACACCAAUGGCGAAGGCAGAUCUCUGGGCCGUAACUGACGCUGAGGAGCGAAAGCAUGGGGAGCGAACAGG